rnacentral:rRNA from 1 species
UACGUAGGUGGCAAGCGUUAUCCGGAAUUAUUGGACGUAAAGAGCGCGCAGGUGGUUGAUUAAGUCUGAUGUGAAAGCCCACGGCUUAACCGUGGAGGGUCAUUGGAAACUGGUCGACUUGAGUGCAGAAGAGGGAAGUGGAAUUCCAUGUGUAGCGGUGAAAUGCGUAGAGAUAUGGAGGAACACCAGUGGCGAAGGCGGCUUCCUGGUCUGUAACUGACACUGAGGCGCGAAAGCGUGGGGAGCAAACAGGAUUAGAUACCCCGGUA